rnacentral:rRNA from 1 species
ACUGAAUAGAUACCCGGGUAGUCCACGCCGUAAACGAUGGUCACUAGGUGUGUGCGGUAUCGACCCCGCACGUGCCGCAGCUAACGCAAUAAGUGACCCGCCUGGGGAGUACGGCCGCAAGGUUGAAGCUCAAAGGAAUUGACGGGGGCCCGCACAAGCGGUGGAGCAUGUGGAUUAAUACGUCACUAACCGUAGAACCUUACCCAGGCUUGACAUCCCGGGAACCCUUCUGAAAGGAAGGGGUGCCUCGCAAGAGGAGCCCGGAGACAGGUGUUGCAUGGCUGUCGUCAGCUCGUGUCGUGAGAUGUUGGGUUAAGUCCCGCAACGAGCGCAACCCUCACCGUAUGUUGCCAGCGUCAAGUCGGGCACUCUUACGGAACUGCCCGCGCAAGCGGAGGAAGGUGGGGACGACGUCAAGUCAGCAUGGCCCUUACGCCUGGGGCUUCACACAUGCUACAAUGGCCGGUACAGAGGGUCCCGAUACCGUGA